rnacentral:rRNA from 1 species
AGCGAACGCUGGCGGCAGGCUUAACACAUGCAAGUCGAACGGGCACUUCGGUGUCAGUGGCAGACGGGUGAGUAACACGCGGGAACGUACCUUUUGGUUCGGAACAACUGAGGGAAACUUCAGCUAAUACCGGAUAAGCCCUUACGGGGAAAGAAUUAUCGCCGAAAGAUCGGCCCGCGUCUGAUUAGCUAGUUGGUAGGGUAAUGGCCUACCAAGGCGACGAUCAGUAGCUGGUCUGAGAGGAUGAUCAGCCACAUUGGGACUGAGACACGGCCCAAACUCCUACGGGAGGCAGCAGUGGGGAAUAUUGGACAAUGGGGGCAACCCUGAUCCAGCCAUGCCGCGUGAGUGAUGAAGGCCCUAGGGUUGUAAAGCUCUUUUGUACGGGAAGAUAAUGACGGUACCGUAAGAAUAAGCCCCGGCUAACUUCGUGCCAGCCGCCGCCGUAA